CUUUUGAUCUAUAUACAUAUAGAGAUCAAUCUCUCUGAUUUCUCUCCCGCGCGCGUGUUUCUCUCCGAUCAACUUUUCUACUCUUCAUCGACUGGUGGAUCAUGAAAGGAUUGCUAGCACCGUCCACAUAAUCCGUGACUCAUCCUAUUCGUGAGACGAAGAUUGAUCGGAUCGCCGAUUCCGUGUGGAUACGCAUAGAGGCCGGGCAUGCGCGCGGCUCAUUGGAAUCUCUGUUCGUCAUAUUCAGUUUCAACCGUACAGUAGAUCAAGAGACCUUAACUGGUCCACGGUAAGAUCUCUAAUAAACAUAAAGAGUUUUGUUUAGAUUAAAUUUUUGCAUAGUAACAUGAGAAUGAUCUGCCGGCAACGGUUUGAUUUAUUGAUUUUCGGUUUUCAUAUGUGAUAUGUAUUUGGCUUCCGAAAAAUUUUAAAAGUGCAAAAACUAUUUUCCGCUGUGUUUUUCUGAUAUAUCGGUUAAUUUCUAACAGGAGGAUGGGGAGAAAAGAGAUGUCGAUAUCCU
rnacentral:lncRNA from 1 species